rnacentral:rRNA from 1 species
CAAAACUUUCGACAACGGAUCUCUUGGUUCUGGCAUCGAUGAAGAACGCAGCGAAAUGCGAUAAGUAAUGUGAAUUGCAGAAUUCAGUGAAUCAUCGAAUCUUUGAACGCACAUUGCGCCCUCUGGUAUUCCAGAGGGCAUGCCUGUUCGAGCGUCAUUU